UACGUAGGGCGCAAGCGUUGUCCGGAAUUAUUGGGCGUAAAGAGCUCGUAGGCGGCUUGUCACGUCGGGUGUGAAAGACCGGGGCUUAACCCCGGUUCUGCAUUCGAUACGGGCUGGCUAGAGUGUGGUAGGGGAGAUCGGAAUUCCUGGUGUAGCGGUGAAAUGCGCAGAUAUCAGGAGGAACACCGGUGGCGAAGGCGGCUCUCGUGGAACGCAACUGACGCUGAGACGCGAAAGCGUGGGGAGCAAACAGG
rnacentral:rRNA from 1 species